GGUUGUGGCUCAGUGGUAGAGCACUUGCCUAGCAUGUAUGAGGCCCUGGGUUCGAUUCUCAGCACCA
rnacentral:tRNA from 1 species